rnacentral:lncRNA from 1 species
CUCCUGCUCUCAAUUGCAGAGAGGAUAUUGGUCAGAGGGAGCUCUCCUGUUGUGGUACUGCUGCUUUCCCAUGAACAAAGUCACUCCCACCAUCCCAAGUGCCUUCAGGUCAAGUCCCAAGAGGUAAAUGACCUUGUGGGAGCUGGGUCUGCCAUAUUUACAGGGACUCACAGAAUCGUUCAGGUGGGAAAAAGCCUCUAAAAGCCAACCAUUCCCCAGCCCUGCCAAGCCCACCGCUAAGCCCCGUCCCUAGGUGCCACAUCCACACGUCUGUUAAACCGCUCUGGUCCCUCCGGUGCCCAGCCCAAGCGCUUCUCCACCUGUCCUGCUGCAGCUCAGGUGACAAUCGCAGUCGGGCCCGGGAAAGGAUAAACCCGCUGUGUCUAUCCUUGUGAGAGGCGGGCAGGGGGAGCCGCUUCUCCCGCAGCCCCGGCUCCUGGCCGGUCCCCCCGGGUUUCCCCCGCUGCUUCGGGCCGGUCCCCCCGCCCCUGCUCCCCCAGACCCUUCCCCGAGGGCGGCCGGAGCCGGGGCCGCCCCUCCUUGGCCAGGAAAGGGAAAGCGAAAGCGGAGAGCGGUGUCACUGGAGCGGGGCCGCGGCCGGAGCGGGGCUGGGGGCGAUGGGGCCCCGGCAGGUGAGCGGAGCGGGCCGGGAGGGCUGCGGGCCCCGCGGGUCUGGCGGCGAGCACUGAGGGACCGGCUGCGGCGAGUCCCUGCCCGGGCCCCCGGCGCUCCCUUCUCCUCUUCCUCCUCAUCCUCCUCCUCCUCCUGCGGCCGCGGGCGGGUGCUGUCCCGGAGCGGUGCCGCCCGUUCGGGGAUCCCCGCCCCGCCCCGGUCCGGUCCGGUCCCGCACCCCAGGGCUGGCCCCUGCGAGCUCCCGGUGGAGCCUCUGAAAGUCAGACCUUCGCAUGUAUUUAUCUCUCGAAAGCAGCAGGAUCCUGGCACGCAUGUCCUAGAACAGCUGUGGGUGCCUGUUCAAGGCCAGCAAGAUAUGUCCACAACUUACGCUGCCCAAGUGAACCUCUCCCAGCUGAAACCACGUCCCUGGAGAAAAGGGAACGCCUGGUGUGACUUUAUUGCCUUUCGUGGUUGUGGUGAGGAGCCUCAGGGCAGCCUCUCCUCUCUUUACCUCUGGC